rnacentral:snRNA from 1 species
GUGCUCGGUUCGGCAGCACAUAUACUAAAAUUGGAACGAUACAGAGAAAAUUAGCAUGGCCCCUGCACAAGGAUGACACGCAAAUUCGUGAAGUGUUUCAUAUUUUG